UUGGUCCAUGACCGGCUGACAUCUGUGCUCCAUCUGACAGCAGCAGAUUGGCAUUCUCUGCACAUGUCUUUUCAAUUCCUGUCAUCUGUUUUUUUGCCGUUCUAUACACAUUCUACACACAUUGCAUUAUUUACUUAAGUAUGAACCUUUCAGAGGCGCUCAUAAGGGGCACCUUUUCUUCACAAGUAUAUUCUGGAAUGAAUGCCGGAUUCAACAUUAGGGAGAGAAGAUGACUGAACACUACUUCCUUUCAAACAGCUCCCGAGACUGAGUAACCCGUCUGUAGGCUGCAGAAAAUGUGCUUGCUUUAGUCUACAUAGCUCUUCAGGGCUUGGGACCACCACCACCUAAAGGAAUUCUUUCCAUAUGUUACUACCUAUAUCCCAAAAUAAUCUUCAAACAACUUGGUUUUUGUGCUCACUGUGACUGAAAUGUGGCAAGUGACUGCCCAGCAACUUUUGAAUAUCCUUCUCAGAUUAGGAUGCUGUCAUUUGUGCCUGGAUUGCAUUUGCAUUCAAAACAGUGCUCAGGUAGCCCCAUUACAAGGGCCAGAUCUACAUUAUUUUGCAUCACCCGGCUGAUAGAAUUACUGCUAUGUGUGAAUAUGCACUUAGCAGCUUGUCAAGGUCAAUGAGCAAAUCUGGCAGAGAAGAUCUACACAAACAUAGUCUUUGACAUCUGUUCUCAUCUUAGUCCUCCUGUGCAGGAGAUGCAACUCUUUGAACAUUGUCCCGUAUCUGGCAGUUAUAAUGUUGUGGAUGAAUUGCAGUAUUUCUUUCUUGAAAUAAAGUGGCAUGUGCAAAUGUGCUACUGUAUGUACAAAGUGUAAACUGUUGUAUAAUACCUAUACUUUAUUCACAGCGAAAUGAAAACAAUCAGUGUGUGUGAGACUCCAUACAGGCCAUCCAUUCAUGCCCUGACAUUUGAGCUCUGUUGUAAGCAAAUCUGAUCUAACAUUGUUUGUCCCCCAAGCCUUACUAUCUCUGGAGUCUCCUUUUUUGAGGGAAAGAGUAAAAUUGUCUGACUCAAGAUCCUGAGGGGAGGGAUGGUCAAGAAAUCAUAUAUUCAGACAUGCAUGGGUGAGAUGAUGAACAUUAAUUCUCUGAGUUUGUGGGUUGGUUUCUGAACAUUUUGUUACCAAGCUAGGCAACAUCUUCAGCGGAGUUUAUAGGAUCUCAGUGUCAGUGUUCUUCUGUUUAUAAGGGCUUCGUGUGGUCAGUAGGUCUUGUGAUGGGUCAGGUAUGGGUGUGUCAGCUGAGGGUCUUGUGAUGGGGAUGUUACACCAGGCAAGGCU